rnacentral:rRNA from 1 species
CCUACGGGGGGCAGCAGUAGGGGAUCUUGCUUAAUGGGCGCAAGCCUGAAGCAGCAACGCCGCGUGUGCGAUGACGGCCUUCGGGUUGUAAAGCACUUUUGGUCGGGAAGAGGAAGGACGGUACCGGCCGAAUAAGCCUCGGCUAACUACGUGCCAGCAGCCGCGGUAAAACGUAGGAGGCGAGCGUUAUCCGGAUUUACUGGGUGUAAAGCGCGUGCAGGCGGCUGGUCAAGUUGGAUGUGAAAGCUCCUGGCUCAACCGGGAG